AAGUCGUAACAAGGUUUCCGUAGGUGAACCUGCGGAAGGAUCAUUAGUGAAUUUGUUUUGUGGUGGGUAUCUUGCAAUCUUUACAAGAUAUCCCCCAAACACCCCCACUAUUAUCACGCCGGCUGGAAGAAAUUCUGGUCGAGAGCCUAGUAAGCUCGGAAAUUUGAAGUAAAAGAAACUUUAUUGUUUUUUUUCACUUCUUUUUUUUUUAGAACCAUAUAGUUAUGUAUGUUAAGUAGUAUUCUUAAAACAAAUACAACUUUCAGCAACGGAUCUCUUGGCUCUC
rnacentral:misc_RNA from 1 species